UACGUAGGGGGCAAGCGUUGUCCGGAUUUAUUGGGCGUAAAGAGCGUGUAGGCGGCUUUACAGGUCCGUUGUGAAAACUCGAGGCUCAACCUCGAGACGCCGGUGGAAACCGUAAAGCUAGAGUCCGGAAGAGGUGAGUGGAAUUCCCGGUGUAGCGGUGAAAUGCGUAGAUAUCGUUUGGAACGCCGACGGCGAAAGCAGCUGACUGGGGGUGAUCUGACGCUGAGACACGAAAGCCAGGGGAGCGAACGGG
rnacentral:rRNA from 1 species